rnacentral:rRNA from 1 species
GACGAACACUGGCGGCGUGCCUAAUACAUGCAAGUAGAACGCUGAAGGAGGAGCUUGCUUCUCUGGAUGAGUUGCGAACGGGUGAGUAACGCGUAGGUAACCUGCCUGGUAGCGGGGGAUAACUAUUGGAAACGAUAGCUAAUACCGCAUAAAAGUAGAUGUUGCAUGACAUUUGCUUAAAAGGUGCAAUUGCAUCACUACCAGAUGGACCUGCGUUGUAUUAGCUAGUUGGUGGGGUAACGGCUCACCAAGGCGACGAUACAUAGCCGACCUGAGAGGGUGAUCGGCCACACUGGGACUGAGACACGGCCCAGACUCCUACGGGAGGCAGCAGUAGGGAAUCUUCGGCAAUGGACGGAAGUCUGACCGAGCAACGCCGCGUGAGUGAAGAAGGUUUUCGGAUCGUAAAGCUCUGUUGUAAGAGAAGAACGAGUGUGAGAGUGGAAAGUUCACACUGUGACGGUAUCUUACCAGAAAGGGACGGCUAACUACGUGCCAGCAGCCGCGGUAAUACGUAGGUCCCGAGCGUUGUCCGGAUUUAUUGGGCGUAAAGCGAGCGCAGGCGGUUAGAUAAGUCUGAAGUUAAAGGCUGUGGCUUAACCAUAGUACGCUUUGGAAACUGUUUAACUUGAGUGCAAGAGGGGAGAGUGGAAUUCCAUGUGUAGCGGUGAAAUGCGUAGAUAUAUGGAGGAACACCGGUGGCGAAAGCGGCUCUCUGGCUUGUAACUGACGCUGAGGCUCGAAAGCGUGGGGAGCAAACAGG